rnacentral:rRNA from 1 species
AACGAACGCUGGCGGCAUGCCUAACGCAUGCAAGUCGAACGAAGGCUUCGGCCUUAGUGGCGCACGGGUGCGUAACGCGUGGGAAUCUGCCCCUUGGUUCGGGAUAACAUCUGGAAACGGAAGCUAAUACCGGAUGAUAUCGCGAGAUUAAAGAUUUAUCGCCAGGGGAUGAGCCCGCGUCGGAUUAGCUAGUUGGUGGGGUAAAGGCCUACCAAGGCGACGAUCCGUAGCUGGUCUGAGAGGAUGAUCAGCCACACUGGGACUGAGACACGGCCCAGACUCCUACGGGAGGCAGCAGUGGGGAAUAUUGGACAAUGGGCGCAAGCCUGAUCCAGCAAUGCCGCGUGAGUGAUGAAGGCCUUAGGGUUGUAAAGCUCUUUUACCCGGGAUGAUAAUGACAGUACCGGGAGAAUAAGCCCCGGCUAACUCCGUGCCAGCAGCCGCCAUAA